CUAAAUAGUGGUGCACAGUCUCAGUUUCUUGAGGAAAAUCAUCGCAAUAGGACGUAUUUGUGACCGGCUUCGGUGACGCAAUUAUUAUCUGCUUACUGAUCCGACUUCAAAGGCGGGAAAAAUUCCAAUAUGGCCGCCAACGUACUUUUUCAAAGAGAAGUUCGAUCUUUUGCUUCUGAAUUAAAACAGCUAUUAUAUAUUUCAAGAAAUUGUGAUUUGUGAUCUAUCAUCAAUUAAUAAACAAUUAUAUAUCUUAUAAAACAUUACUAAUUAUUGAUACUUUAAUUUGUUCCAGGGAGUGUGAAAUCAAUCAACGAAAAUGAAUAUUUCAUAUGGUAUCUUUUCUUUUGCUUCGAUUAUUAACAUUUUUCUAUAAGAAGGGCCCUUCGAUUUUAGAUUAGUAUAUAGUCAAUAUAUAGAUAUAUAGGUAAUACCUUUGAUAUGAGUAGAGAAAUAUACAUUUAGAUUUUAUAUAGAAACUAACAUCAUCAUUCUGAUCAAUAAAAAAUAUUUGUAUUUUAUGUAAUCCUCUCGAUUUUAUUAAGAUUUUUCUGAAUAAAAAUAAAUUCCCUAAAUGUUUAAAUGUUUAUAUGUACUUUUAGAUUUAUAUUAGGUAGGGAUUAAAAAUAAAUGUAGGUAGGGAUUGUAAAGAAUAGUAGAUUGGAGUUAAAUAAAAUGAAACUAUUUUGAAUUAUUAUUCUUUAAGGAUCAUAUUGU